GACGAACGCUGGCGGCGUGCCUAAUACAUGCAAGUAGAACGCUGAAGGAGGAGCUUGCUUCUCUGGAUGAGUUGCGAACGGGUGAGUAACGCGUAGGUAACCUGCCUGGUAGCGGGGGAUAACUAUUGGAAACGAUAGCUAAUACCGCAUAAUAGUAGAUGUUGCAUGACAUUUGCUUAAAAGGUGCAAUUGCAUCACUACCAGAUGGACCUGCGUUGUAUUAGCUAGUUGGUGGGGUAACGGCUCACCAAGGCGACGAUACAUAGCCGACCUGAGAGGGUGAUCGGCCACACUGGGACUGAGACACGGCCCAGACUCCUACGGGAGGCAGCAGUAGGGAAUCUUCGGCAAUGGACGGAAGGCUGACCGAGCAACGCCGCGUGAGUGAAGAAGGUUUUCGGAUCGUAAAGCUCUGUUGUAAGAGAAGAACGAGUGUGAGAGUGGAAAGUUCACACUGUGACGGUAGCUUACCAGAAAGGGACGGCUAACUACGUG
rnacentral:rRNA from 1 species